GAUGAACGCUGGCGGCGUGCUUAACACAUGCAAGUCGAGCGAAGCACUUAAGUUCGAUUCUUCGGAUGAAGACUUUCGUGACUGAGCGGCGGACGGGUGAGUAACGCGUGGGUAACCUGCCUCAUACAGGGGGAUAACAGUUAGAAAUGGCUACUAAUACCGCAUAAGACCACGGUACUGCAUGGUACAGUGGUAAAAACUCCGGUGGUAUGAGAUGGACCCGCGUCUGAUUAGGUAGUUGGUGAGGUAACGGCUCACCAAGCCGACGAUCAGUAGCCGACCUGAGAGGGUGACCGGCCACAUUGGGACUGAGACACGGCCCAGACUCCUACGGGAGGCAGCAGUGGGGAAUAUUGCACAAUGGGCGAAAGCCUGAUGCAGCGACGCCGCGUGAAGGAUGAAGUAUUUCGGUAUGUAAACUUCUAUCAGCAGGGAAGAAAAUGACGGUACCUGACUAAGAAGCCCCGGCUAACUACGUGCCAGCAGCCGCGGUAA
rnacentral:rRNA from 1 species